GACGAACGCUGGCGGCGUGCCUAAUACAUGCAAGUUGAGCGCUGAAGGUUGGUACUUGUACCGACUGGAUGAGCAGCGAACGGGUGAGUAACGCGUGGGGAAUCUGCCUUUGAGCGGGGGACAACAUUUGGAAACGAAUGCUAAUACCGCAUAAAAACUUUAAACACAAGUUUUAAGUUUGAAAGAUGCAAUUGCAUCACUCAAAGAUGAUCCCGCGUUGUAUUAGCUAGUUGGUGAGGUAAAGGCUCACCAAGGCGAUGAUACAUAGCCGACCUGAGAGGGUGAUCGGCCGCAUUGGGACUGAGACACGGCCCAAACUCCUACGGGAGGCAGCAGUAGGGAAUCUUCGGCAAUGGACGAAAGUCUGACCGAGCAACGCCGCGUGAGUGAAGAAGGUUUUCGGAUCGUAAAACUCUGUUGGUAGAGAAGAACGUUGGUGAGAGUGGAAAGCUCAUCAAGUGACGGUAACUACCCAGAAAGGGACGGCUAACUACGUG
rnacentral:rRNA from 1 species